CCGCCUCUGCUCCUGGGCUGCAGUGGACGCUGUGGGUGUGGAGCGCAGAGCCUCUCUGUCUGCACAUCGGGGAGGCGUUCUCGGAUCACCAAGUGGAGGGUGUGAAGGGGCUCUGGUGGCUGGGUCCCAAGGUGUCCGCAGGGUCUUGCACUGCAGGGGACCUGGGCUCACUGGGCCAGCAACGGGAGCACCUCUUGGGCCACACUGCCUCACUGUCUUCACCUGCCACCCCCUACAUGGCCAGGGCACUGUGUGCUCUUCUGGGCCUCAGCCUCUGACCCCUCUGCACCCAGCCUGUCUUUAUCCAGGCCUUCUCAGGACAGUCUCGCAGGCCUGGAGUAGGCAGCCGCUGACCACCUCUUGGACCCCAGACCACACCGGAAGAAAUGAGCCAGAAGUGAGCGCUGGGAACAGAGUGGAGUCUCCGGUGUGUACCUCAGACUGAUGGUGCCCAUGUGUUCGCCUCCGCCCCCCACCCUUGCCACCACACUCGCCCACUUGCCCACCGGGUCCCGCCGGAUAAAUGACAGGCCCGAGGUCAGAAUGGCCAUCCCCGGGCCCCGUCCUGGGGUCUCUGUCCCCACUUCCUUCUGGCCUGGGAGGUCUGUAAUUCCUGUCUCCUGGACUCUCCUGGGAAGUUCCCUGCUCUGCAGCUCUGGCCCAGGAGCUGCAGGCUGGGAGGGGGCAGCCAAGAAGCCGGAGCUGGCAGCAUACCCAGAGAUCCGGGGCCCCCCCACCCCCAAAUCACGAGUGCAGCUGGAGCUUGCUCCCCCUUG
rnacentral:lncRNA from 1 species